ACACCCUAGAAUAGAAAAAGAUGCAAGCAUCAAAUUAUCACUUUCAAUGUAAAAUAAUAUCUUCUAUGAUAUGGAUAAUUUCUAUUUAUUUACUGCACUGAAAAUGCGGAUUUUUUGUGUACUUUUUUAAAACCAUGAACAACAAAUAUUUAGAUCAUGUUGCAUUCAAUUGGUAAAAAAAAACGAUAUAUACAAAUGUCAACUGUUCAGGGUAUUACUGGUCGCACUGUAAUUUGCAAAAAAUUUCACUUUUCAUCGUACAAAAAUCAAAGAAUUCUAGCCUUAAAGUGUUUCUGAAGCGAAAAUCGUGUCAGGCUGUUCUUAGGCUUAUUAUAAAAUUCAAUUUUCGCUUAAUAUUAUAAAAGAAAAGUCAAAAUAAAAGAUUAUGAGGAACAUGACGCAAUUAUUCUUCAAAGAGAGGUAACAAGUGCGACAAAAAAUACAGCGAAAUUACGUCAUAGGCACCCCCCCCCCCCCGUGUUUCGUCACACGGUUGCUUACUACGCUGAAGGAGCCAUUUUGAAUCGAUCAUUGACCGAAAAGUUCACUAGUUUGCCCUACUAUUUGUUGCGUUUAUAUUCUUACAAUGUCUGAUUACAACAAAUAGUCUAGUAAAGAGUCAUAUUAAAUUCUUCGGGAGGCAACAGGAGCGAAUUUGGAUCGAAAGGAGCAGUGCAUUCCCUUGGAGCUGAACGGGUGAGAGUCGUUUGCACGAUGCAGGGAGAAAUUAGUGGAUUAUAAAAUGAUCUGUUGGAUCUACCUUCAGAGAGGAUAAUCACGGCUUCCAGGGCAGUUUUUCAGAAGUCUAGAACUUGUGAUGCUGGGCUUCUGUUGAUGUGCACUUGAGGGCCCAUGAGAAAGAGUAUUAAUAAACAUUCUUUAAUUUUGUAAGAAUCAUUGAGAGGCACAGUAAUGCUACAGGGUCUGUACUUGAUUUCAAUUCAACAUCAUCAUAUACAAGCUUUAGUGA